GAUGUGGAUGGCAAUAAAGGAGAUGUAUUUUUUUCACUUUUUUUCUUUUGUUUUUGAGUUGUUUUCAACUUAUGCAUGUAUGCUAAUGUCUUUUUUUUCAUGUUUUCUUUUGGUUGCUUAAUCAACGUUUUGGAAGUCAGCCGCUUCGCCGGAACUCGAAGCGUCCUGCUAAUCGCCAGCCACGACCUGCGCGGAGUGUUGAGCAGGGAGAGGAUGUUGAGGAUGCUGAUUAAUUCCGUGUUGUAAAGCGUACUAGACGUGCAGCACUUGGUAAGGGAGCUGAGUCAUUUUCUAGGGCAGCAGUUGCUGGAGAAGCUGUCGCAUCUUCCGCAGCAGAUGCUGAGGCCAGCGGUGAAGGAGUUGAGGUGGCUGCAGGGGAAGAUGUGGAGUGACCAUCACAACCAGGCAGGAUAAGGGCAUCACCAGCGCGGUUUGCAAAUUUCAACGCCUCUCUAUCCCCACUAUAGAAGUCAGAGCUAGUUUCGAGGUUGUUCGGGGGGCAAUUGAACUUAUCAGACACACUUCCAGCGGACCUCACUAAGUUCCUAGUGCAGUCCUACCAGCCACAGACCUCUGAAAUGGUUUUCCCAAGAAGGGGAAGGAUCUGUGUCGAUGCUGACAGUGUUCAGAGGGUAUUUGAUCUCCCAAACAGGGGUCAAAAAGUCAGAUAUUUAGUUGACAAGGAUGCCACUAGGAGAUUCAGACAGGCUUUCAACAUAACUGGAAAUUCUCAUCCCCAGAUCACUACAUGGCUCAAGAUGAUUCAGGAUAUGGCUGGAAGAACGGAUGACACAUUCUUUAUGGCCUGGCUUGCGAUUGCCUUCAGCACUUUUCUAGCACCAACCACGGCCUUGAAGCUCAGCCCAAAGUGUUAUGGACUUGUGCUAGAUCAUCAAAUGCUAAAGAAUACAAACAUCUGCCUCUUUGUAGCAGAAUACAUUAACGAAGCUUUCCAGAACAUGGACCAGGAGAAGCAAACUGUCUGCUGCUGCUUGUAUCACUUGAUGUAAGCAACUGCGCGAUACGAUCGAAUGCAUGGGAUAGUACUCUAAUUGCCAAGGUGAUCAAGAAGGAUACUAUCUCUCCUGGUGUGUUCGGCAAAUUACAACUUAAAGAGGAGUAUAGAGGCACGGAGCAGACACCACUGUUUGAUGGAAUUUUGCAAGCUGAAGCAUUCAUGGCAUCCAAGUUACCAAUAACCUACAAUCUGCAGAAAAAGGCAAAGAUUGCGAAAGUGGUCAAUGAGCUGUGCAAGGUUGUAACUGAACAGGUUGGCACCUUCAUUGAAGCAGUUGCCAAGAUCGAUGACGAGGAACCAGAUAUUGAUCCUUACGUACAGCAGCCAUCAAUGCAAACUGGGGCGUCACGCCGUGCUCCAAAAAGAAAGAGACGGGGGUCAACUAUACAAGAAAAAGAAGAGUUUGUUGAGGAUGAGUCAGAAGAAGAUGAGGAAAUGGAAGCAGCGAUAGAUGCUGACGACGACGAGGACACAUA